CGUGUAGGCGGCUAGACAGGUCUGCUGUGAAAACUCGAGGCUCAACCUCGAGAUGUCGGCGGAAACCGUCUGGCUAGAGUCCGGAAGAGGAGAGUGGAAUUCCUGGUGUAGCGGUGAAAUGCGCAGAUAUCAGGAAGAACACCUAUGGCGAAGGCAGCUCUCUGGGACGGUACUGACGCUGAGACGCGAAAGCGUGGGAGCGAACA
rnacentral:rRNA from 1 species